AAAGAGUCUUCCCUGCUUUGUGUCGGCCGCUCACAUUAAAUCCUAAUGAAAUUCAGUGAAAUCUGCGGUUGUGAGGCAACAAGGUUGCAAAGCACCAUCAACAUCCCAUUGCGCUUUCGCAUGGCUUAAACACUGGGAUUAGCUGAUCCUUGUUUUUCUAGCCUAUUUCUGUCUUUUCUAAUAUUCAAAGAGUGAAUUCCUCAUCACUUUCUCAACUCCAGAAAUCCCAGGCACCUUAGCUGCUCGGGAUACAAGUAAACAACUGCAGCCAAGCAAACAAUUACACCAUAAUUUGUGACCCUACAAGGCUCUUAAUUGACCCCAGACGGAGUCUAUUUUUGGUGCAGGGCUUCCUAAAAGCAGCAGCAGCUCAGCGUAAAGUGCAUUAAAAGCGAGGUAAUUAGUGUGCAGAGUAGACCGCAAACGGCUAAUUGCGCUGCUCGUGCUCGCCUCCACCUAUCGCAACCUCCAGACUGCUCCUAAUAACACCCACCUCCACACGCGGCGUGGGGCUCGUGUCCGAACACGGAGCUCCAAAACAGUAAUUGUCAGCCGGGAAGAGGGGGGGAAGAGACACAAAAACAAGUCUGGUAGCUAGCAUAGGAGCCCAAACGGUUCGGACUGCUCACGAGGCGCUGCGCCAGCCGAAGCACAUUUACAUACGCACUGAUUCACUGCAGGGCAGCCAUGUCCAGGCCUGACUAGGACGUGCCGGAUCCCGUGCGUUAGGAAUGGAGGCUCGGUUACGGGAUCACGCAAAGGCUCCCUGAGGCUUAGCAGGAGUUGCCGACGCAGACAAAGUCAGAGAAUCUGCGGUCUCUGAGGUCGACAGUAAAAGCUGCAUGUGAGAGUUUGUCCCCAGAAACUGCUGGUGCUGCAGCUUUUCUCUGAACCGUCACCCAUCUACAAUGGAGUGACACCAGGAAGCGGAGCAGACACCCAGGAUGAGACUCAACACAGACUAGAAACAAACGCUGACAGGCGAAUGUGGAAAGCAAGCAUGAUUAUUCCCACACAGACUUUUUUUUUAUGAUAAAAAUGACAGCAGCUGUUUUCCAGUAUGCUGGCACUUAAAUGAAACUUAAGUAAAAGAGGA